AGUAUAGCGCCCAUGCCUUUUGUUGUUGGUCUGACAAGGCUUCUCUCUUCCAUUGCGCCCUGCAAGCAGUUGUGCUUAGCGUCAUUGACCGGCCUGUGCACCCACUCCUCCCUAUAUCUACCAGCUUUGGUUGUGCUACUUCCCCCCCUCCUCUUCGUUCCACUCGUUGCGUGAGGCUCGCUUUGUCCGCUAGUGCAGUUGCUGUCUUCUCCCUCUUCCGUCAGUCUUGUGUUUUUUUUUCCUUCCCGUCUUCGUUUCCAUGCAUGAUGGUGGAAUUGCAGGUCUUGGUUCAGAGCUGGUAGUUUAGCCUUCUCUUGUGCUAAAAAUCUAGGUCAGCUAGGUGGACUGUUCUUCAUCAGGCCUCUGGUUGAAAAGCUAUACAAUAGGCCUAUGGUCCAGCUCGGUUACGUACCUCAGCUGCUCUUCAUAGGGCCGGCCGGGUGUGCUCCUAAUAAUCCAGUAACACCAUGAUACUAUCAAAUAAUGAACACAGAUCAGAUACAGUCCAACUGCUUAUACAUGCUAUUUGUAAGCUAUUUGUACUCAAAAGUUUAUCGUUGUGUUUACAUGCAUGUUUGGUCUAGCUACACUUUUAGAGUCUGAUACUAAACGUCUGAACUGUACGUAGGGCGCCCAAAUUAGUUUCUGAUCUUUCUGUUCCUAUUACUACGAUCGUUGGGAACUUAUUCUUCUCCAGGUGUGAGAAAUCAGUAUAAUUAAUUUCCUGCA